rnacentral:rRNA from 1 species
CCUACGGGAGGCAGCAGUGAGGAAUAUUGGUCAAUGGCCGGAAGGCUGAACCAGCCAUGCCGCGUGAAGGUCAGUGCCCUAUGGGCGUUAAACUUCUUUUGUGCGGGAGCAAUAAUGGUCACGUGUGGCCAGACGAGAGUACCGUACGAAUAAGCAUCGGCUAACUCCGUGCCAGCCGCCGCGGUUAUACGGGGGAUGCAAGCGUUAUCCGGAGUUUUUGGGUUUAAAGGGUGCGUAGGCUGUGAGGUAAGUCAGCGGUGAAAUGCCCCGGGGCAAAGGGGUGAAGUGCCAUUGAUACUGCCGUGCUGGAGUGCGGAUGCGGUGGGAGGAAGGUGUGGUGUAGCGGUGAAAUGCAUAGAUAUCACACAGAACACCGAUUGCGAAGGCAUCUCACGAAUCCGCGAUUGACGCUGAUGCUCGAAAGUGUGGGUAUCAAACAGGAUUAGAUACCCCAGUAGUC